UUGGCGGGUUGUUAGCGGCAGCCAUAUUUACUUCUCUACUCCAGCGAUCACAUAAAGCAAAAUGUCAUUCUUUGAAACUCUCGAAAAGCUGUUUGGUACCAGAGAUUUGUAUGAAGUACUGAGGCUAACUAAGUCAGCUUCUGAAUCGGAGAUAAAGCGAGCUUAUCGUAAAAAAUCGCUUGAAGUUCAUCCUGAUAGGGUUCCCGAAGCAGAGAAAGCGAGCGCCACCGAAAAAUUCCAACUUUUAAGCAGAGUUUACUCAGUUUUGUCCGACCAAGACAAAAGGGCGUUGUACGAUGAAAGUGGGGAAGUUGACGACGAUGUUGUUGUCCAAGAACGUGAUUGGGAUGCCUACUGGAGAUUGCUGUUUCAGAAAAUCACCAUGAAAGAUAUUACAGAGUUUGAGAAAAAUUACAAAGGAUCAGAAGAGGAAGUAAACGAUCUCAGGUCGGCGUACUUGGACUACGAGGGUGACAUGGACACUAUCUUGGAAAAUGUACUAUGCUCCACGAUUGGCGAUUAUGAAAGAUUCCGAAUAAUCAUUCAAGAUCUAAUUUCAAAGGAAGAUUUACCAACUUUCCCAGCUUUUGCGAAUGAGGAUAAAAAGAAGAAGAAAUCGCGCAAGCAAAAAGCUCAGAGGGAAGCAGCUGAAGCAGCGGAGGUGGCUAAAGAGCUUGGCUUAAAUGACAAAUCAGAUGAUGGCCUCAAACAGCUGAUUAUGAAAAGGCAAAAACAGCGGCAAGGGGCAGUGGAGGAUAUGAUAGCUGGACUGGAAGCAAAAUACUGCAAACCAAAGAAACCCAAAACGUCUAAAGGAAAGAAGAAAUAAUUUUUUUUCUUGAAUCAAAAACUGUACUUGGAUGAAAAACUUAUUUCUCCUUAUAGGUUGCCUUACACUGCUACAGUAGGGUGCUUAUAGGUUGUCUUGCAGUGCUACAGUAGGGUGCUUAUCAGUAUCGACAUAGUCUGUCGGUAUUGCUGUUUGCCUUUCCACGAACUUUACAAGCCUAGUAUUUGGAGAGUGAAAAAGUUUAUUUAUCUUGGUCAUAAAAUUAUCUUUGUUACUCAAAUAGAAGAAAAAACGCUUUUUUUCAGCCUCUGAAGUUGAGAAGUAACCUUAAAUAGCCCAGUAGCUCCUACGGAUUUGUCAUAAAUCUACAAGCACGCCCAAAGUGCUUCUACAGCUAACGCAAAUCAUACAUAAUGAACAUACUCCAGUGUAAUUAGUAAAACGUUACAAAAUACACGAGUUGCUGCUAGUUGAAAUGACAGACUACAAGCAGUCCCUGCUUUUCGGAAAAGUCCGGUUGCAUAACAGUUGCGAAACAUUAAACCUGUUUUGACCUCACAAAAUUUGCACAAUUUGCAAAAUUUGGACUAGCAAAUUUUGGUAACUUUGGGAGUUCCCGGAUAAAGUUUACCGCCAAAAAAUUGUAGGAGUUACUUACUCGCAAUAUAAUAAAUGGAAAUAAGGCAAUGCCAUAUAUGCCAUUCUCCUUUUGAAUAUUCAGGUAACUCCUCGAGCGAAAAAUAAACUAAAUUUUGCCUUGUCACUA
rnacentral:misc_RNA from 1 species